CUCACUGUCACUCUCGCACAGUCUUCAGUUUUUCUUUGCACGCAUCACUUCUCACUGUCUCAUCUCACUCUCACUCUCACUCUCGCGCGGUUUCAAGCUUCAGCCAUGGCUUCUUCUAUCUCUUGCUCAUAGCUUCAAUGGUUGCGUCAACUCAUUCUCUUAUUGGAUCCUCAUAUGAUUCUAAAGAGAAAAGUCAUCUUUCUAUUGCGGGCUACUGAUUGCAAUCUUGCGGUUUGGUUUGAGCAACUAAAACAGGUUGGUGGAGGAGAGGUGGAGGUGUCAGGAUCUCCUACAAAGACGGCAAUUCUUUCUUGGGCAGUGAAGAUCAAAUUCAACGAUUCUCCAUGUCUUCUCCUUCAAUUCUGAGAAAAAGCGAGGCGAUGUUACUGUGAAAAACUGACGGACUCUGCAAUACAUAUACAUUGGAAAGGAUCUGUGGAGAUUGUUUUAGGAACUUGUACUCAAUAUGUUGAUUCUGAUGGUCACUUGAAAUCUAUUGAAGAAGAAAAGAAAAAAACCUAAAGGAGAACCCCGGGGAGCAAAUGGAGUAGCCUUAGAAUGACAAAGAUCGUCAAUGCACAUUGGAGAUUGUCAUCUAAGGUAAGAGCGGGAAUCAAAUUGUUUCACUGUGUGGGCACAUAUGAGGCAUAUGGUGGUGAAGCAACCCUUAAGCCUCCAAGCAGUUAUUUUGGUAUGCAUUUGAUGAUUUGAGUAUCGUUAUGAAAUUAUUGUUUUGUUUGUUUGUGGAUGAUGAUGAAAUUUAUUAAUCGUGAUGAUUGAAUGGUGAUAUUUGAUGAAAUUAGUUUGAAGAUGAUUGUUGAUUCUCUUCAACUAGUUUUUAUGUGCUCUCAAUCUUCUUUCAUGGAUUCCAAAGCUUGAAAAAAAGUGUAAAAUGAUGGAGAAGGAAAAGGUUGAGGUGCACCAAUUCAAGGAAGAUAAGCAAGAGUGGUGAAGAACUUGCUACAAGGAAAAAUUCCUUGAUAAAAGUUCAUAAGAGAGAAUUUCUCCAAGAGAGAACUAAGACUUUUGGAAAAGAAAAACUCAAGUUUAUUUUUCAAUUGCAUAAAAAAUGCUCGAAUACAAUGAGGGAGAGAGAAAGAGAGUUUGGUAGCUUGUGGUGCUAGUUAGACUAACCAAGUUUAAAUGUAACCUAGGUUAGGUUAACUUGUACUCAAGACUACUAACUUUAGUUACAAUUUCAAAGUUGUAUUUCCCUCCUAAAAAUGUCACUAUCUUAGAUCUAGAAGAGCUAAUAGAAGCUUGCCUCAUGGAAAGACAAGGAAAGUGUUAAUCAUGUUAAUAUCUUAGAUCUAGAAGAACUAAUGGGGUAUUGCCAUAUGGCAAGGUGUCAAAAGUAUGAUUAGGUGUGACACAUGUAACUUGUUAGAGUUUGAAUUGAUCAUGUGAGCAUCUUGUCCACCAUGUGGAUGUCCACUUACAUAGACCACAUGUCCAUGGUGCUCUCAUGGGCUAAUUCAAGCUCAAUAUGCUUAUGUCUCAUUUUCUAGUUACACCCCCUAAAAUACUAUUUACACCCCUAAAAAUAAAAUUUGCAAGAAAAUAAAUUUCUUUACUAUUUGACUUAAACAUACAAGGUCAAAAUUAAGAGAAUAUUUACAAGGAAAAACAUUGUCAACGAAGAGAAAGUAAACUAUCAAAAGCAACCCAAAGUUUAAUAAGAGUUUGGACCUUCUUCCUUUAAGCCUAGUCUACUCCUCUUGACUCCUUUAGAACUUGGCCCCUUGGAAUAAUGUCAUUAGAUAUGUUAUGUAUGGUGAAUAAAUUGGGGACUAGGGUUCUAUGCAUGAUUUGGAUACUUGGUGUGAUUUGUUUGAUUAUGAAAUUAUUGAUGUAUGAAGAUUUUAUUUUGGAGUAAUUAUAUUGUGUAUUGAGUAACCUUGAGUAUUUUUAUGUUGUGAUGCAAAAUACAUAAAGAAAAUGUGAGAAUCGUGUUUGAAAAAGUCAAGUCUGAAGCGAUUUCACAACUAUGAAUUGAUAAGCACGAUUGUGUUAAAGUGAAGCACUCUUACGCAAGUCUAUUUAAAAGGCACCAUGAUCGUAUUUUAGGGAAGCAUGCAUGUGCUAGACCGAGUGAACCAUGGUCGUGCUUAAAGGAUGAAAACUUUAUGUGUGAUAUGAGAUGCUUGUGUGUAAUGUAUGUGAUAGAAAACAUUGUCAGAUGUAUGGGAUAAGAUGUGUUGUUGUUUGACUUGAGAACCUAGUGUGCAAUGUUUAACAUGCAUGUUAAGAGAUGUUGAUGAUUUGAAGAAGUCUAGGCAGAGGCUUGAUAGUGGUGAAAUCCUAGCAAGCUUGGUCUUGUGGAGAAGUCUAGAUAGAAAGGUCUGGCCAAGUGAUGUUGUUGGCCUAAGCAUGUGUGUCAUUGUUGUUUGUGAUUAGUGAAGUUGUUUGGAGUUCAUGCAUUCACGCAUACUUUCAUUUAGAGGUGGUAUUAAAUCUAUAUAGAAGAAUCUUUAUGGUCUUCUACCUUGACCUUGGGUUGUUUUAGUGGGGAUCAUCUAAUGAGUAUGGGAGGUGACCAUGCGCCAUUGUGAUAUCCCAACUAGAUCUUGAUAGAUUUUCUCCUAGUUAAGAAUGGAAUGAGAGUGUCAUCUAAAGAGUGGUGAUUCGGUCCAUGUGUUCCAAGGCUACCUUGUAAUCGGAGCGCCUUUGGUGAUUUUGGAGAUUGGUACCACAUGUAUAUAGAAUUUAGAGCAUGAGUUUGCACGAGUCCUUAAGGAAUGUUGUUGGAAAUUAAUUUUGGUGUAUUAAAUGAGAAUGAUUUAUUGAUUUUUGAGUUGACAUGAAUGAUGUUGCAUGUUGUGCAUAGAUACUAUCCUUAUUCUUCAUAUGUGCUUAUAGAUGUGUGAGACAUAUUCUCACUUUUCGUGUUUUUUUUUUGUUUUUUCUUGUUUGGGUUGAACGCUAUAUGUAGAAGUUGAUCAGGUAGAUGAGUUUAAGCCUGCAAGAAAUGAAGCUUAAGCUUCAAUUUAUGUUUGAUGGGAUUACUCUUAUUAUUGUAACAUUGGGGCUAGUGAAUUAAAUUACAUUUUCUUUGAGCUUUAUCUUAAAAAUGUUCUAUUCAGUUUUGGGUUUCCUUUGGAGAAUUAUAAUGCCUAAACAUAUUUUAUUUGUGACCUUACUAUUAUUUAAUUUCUAUUUAAUGUA